rnacentral:rRNA from 1 species
UACGUAGGGGGCUAGCGUUGUCCGGAAUCAUUGGGCGUAAAGCGCGUGUAGGCGGUCCGGUAAGUCCGCUGUGAAAGUCGGGGGCUCAACCCUCGAAUGCCGGUGGAUACUGUCGGGCUAGAGUGCGGAAGAGGCGAGUGGAAUUCCUGGUGUAGCGGUGAAAUGCGCAGAUAUCGGGAGGAACACCGGUGGCGAAGGCGGUUCUCUGGGCCUUACCUGACGCUGAGGAGCGAAAGCGUGGGGAGCAAACAGG